GAUUGGCUUCUAGACUGUCUCCGUGGCAGGUCGCUGGACUGUGUGUGUUUGGAGGCAGGUUAUGUAGAUAUGAAAGACACACAGGAACUCAUAUGGAUGAUUUUUCUAUCAACUACACUGGAUUACAACAAACAGUGGAGUACCAGUACCAUUUCAAACACAUACCUGGGGAAGGGACAGGACCCCCUGGAGUCUAGGUGCUGCUGGUGAUGGCGGUGGAGAAGGAGAUGAUGUGACUAAAGGAGACCUCUGACAAGGAGCUUUGGGAUGACCAUGUAAAGGUGGAGAUGGAGAGGAGGAGGGCUAUGCAACAGUUGGCCUCUGGUGACAGAAUGACAUUGACUUUAAAGCAUGGGGACGAGGGAAUGAUUAACUGAGAGAAGGCGGACACACAGUUCACUGGAUGAAAGCAGCCGUGUAGAAAUUGAGGAUGGACUGAUUGGAGAGAUGAGGAGAUAGAGCGACAGGCCACAUUCACCAGAGGGGGAACAGACCUUGUUGAACUUUCACCUAAAUUUGCGUAUGACCAGAAAUGUUUGGUUUACCGGAAAGCAGCAGGAUAUCCCAACAGCAUCAGGAAGGACAUCCGCGAAACUAAUCAACCCAAAACCACAGAGCCCCCAAAGUGGCUGGAUUCACAUAUCCUUACGCAUGGGAUCACUUCAGCCAGAUCCUAUAUCUACGAGGGGCAAAAUCCACUAAUCCGGCUUUAAGUCAUCUUUAUUGACCAUGAAUUAAUUCCAGGGCCCCCCACAAACUGGAGUGAGAUGAACGUUUAAUGGCUUAAUGAUGGAACAAUUAAUCUACUGUAAGGGCUUUGUUUAACAUCCAAGAUGGGGGCCCUCAUGUGUCCACUGCUGUUUUAAUUUUUGAAUUUCUUUCUUUUUUUCCUAACCAUACCUGCAAUGGUGCUCAUUGGAUGACAGUGUUAUGAUUGGUCUUUUGGUCUAAUCUUAUAUAUUUACGUCAAUAAAAUCGAAACACUAAUCGAAAUAAUAACCGACCUCCAUGCAUGCAUCCGAAUUAUUCAACCUUCACACUUGGGCACCAAUUUUUGUGUGUGCUGGGUGUGUAUUUGCCAGUACUACUGCUGCUCUCAGCAACUGUGCCGGUGAGUGUCCUCUGUCCCAGGCCCUCGGGGGGUUGUAAUGACCUAAUUAUGGCUUAGCACAUCACAAUAAAAAUGAAGAUGAUGCCACAGAAGAAAGAAACCAGGCAACAAAAGGGUGAGAUGCUUUAUCAGUCAUGAUUUCAAGCGCCAUUUUUCGGUUUUACAAGUGCAGGGACGAAGAGCUGACUGGUUUGACAUGAAUAUUUGUCCACAUAAGUCCACGGCAAUCCAUCCGAUCCUCGCUCAACCCCUCAACCCCGGUAACAAAUGUUGAAACCAAAUUUAGCACCAAUCCAAGUAUU